rnacentral:rRNA from 1 species
UACGUAGGGUGCAAGCGUUAAUCGGAAUUACUGGGCGUAAAGCGUGCGCAGGCGGUUUUGUAAGUCUGACGUGAAAUCCCCGGGCUCAACCUGGGAAUUGCGUUUGGAGACUGCAAGGCUAGAAUCUGGCAGAGGGGGGUAGAAUUCCACGUGUAGCAGUGAAAUGCGUAGAGAUGUGGAGGAACACCGAUGGCAAAGGCAGCCCCCUGGGUCAAGAUUGACGCUCAUGCACGAAAGCGUGGGGAGCAAACAGG